GACGAACGCUGGCGGCGUGCUUAACACAUGCAAGUCGAACGGAAAGGCCCUGCUUUUGUGGGGUGCUCGAGUGGCGAACGGGUGAGUAACACGUGAGUAACCUGCCCUUGACUUUGGGAUAACUUCAGGAAACUGGGGCUAAUACCGGAUAGGAGCUCCUGCUGCAUGGUGGGGGUUGGAAAGUUUCGGCGGUUGGGGAUGGACUCGCGGCUUAUCAGCUUGUUGGUGGGGUAGUGGCUUACCAAGGCUUUGACGGGUAGCCGGCCUGAGAGGGUGACCGGCCUCAUUGGGACUGAGAUACGGCCCAGACUCCUACGGGGGGCAGCAGUGGGGAAUAUUGCACAAUGGGCGGAAGCCUGAUGCAGCAACGCCGCGUGCGGGAUGACGGCCUUCGGGUUGUAAACCGCUUUCGCCUGUGACGAAGCGUGAGUGACGGUAAUGGGUAAAGAAGCACCGGCUAACUACGUG
rnacentral:rRNA from 1 species